rnacentral:rRNA from 1 species
GAUGAACGCUGGCGGCGUGCCUAAUACAUGCAAGUCGAGCGAACAGACGAGGAGCUUGCUCCUCUGACGUUAGCGGCGGACGGGUGAGUAACACGUGGAUAACCUACCUAUAAGACUGGGAUAACUUCGGGAAACCGGAGCUAAUACCGGAUAAUAUAUUGAACCGCAUGGUUCAAUAGUGAAAGACGGUUUUGCUGUCACUUAUAGAUGGAUCCGCGCCGCAUUAGCUAGUUGGUAAGGUAACGGCUUACCAAGGCAACGAUGCGUAGCCGACCUGAGAGGGUGAUCGGCCACACUGGCACUGAGACACGGUCCAGACUCCUACGGGAGGCCGCAGUAGGGAAUCUUCCGCAAUGGGCGAAAGCCUGACGGAGCAACGCCGCGUGAGUGAUGAAGGUCUUCGGAUCGUAAAACUCUGUUAUUAGGGAAGAACAAAUGUGUAAGUAACUAUGCACGUCUUGACGGUACCUAAUCAGAAAGCCACGGCUAACUACGUG